rnacentral:rRNA from 1 species
CCUACGUGAGGCUGCAGUCGAGAAUCAUUCACAAUGGGGGAAACCCUGAUGGUGCGACGCCGCGUGGGGGAAUGAAGGUCUUCGGAUUGUACACCCCUGUCAUGUGGGAGCAAAUUAAAAAGAUAGUACCACAAGAGGAAGAGACGGCUAACUCUGUGCCAGCAGCCGCGGUAAUACAGAGGUCUCAAGCGUUGUUCGGAAUCACUGGGCGUAAAGCGUGCGUAGGCUGUUUCGUAAGUCGUGUGUGAAAGGCGCGGGCUCAACCCGCGGACGGCACAUGAUACUGCGAGACUAGAGUAAUGGAGGGGGAACCGGAAUUCUCGGUGUAGCAGUGAAAUGCGGAGAUAUCGAGAGGAACACUCGUGGCGAAGGCGGGUUCCUGGACAUUAACUGACGCUGAGGCACGAAGGCCAGGGGAGCGAAAGGGAUUAGAUACCCGGGUAGUC